CUGAGGUGGACUUGGGGAUGGACAAAUAGAUGAGAGCCCAGAAAUAGAAACAUAUUGGGGAAUUUGGUAUAAAACAGAAGUAGAUACAUAUUGGGGAAUUUGGUAUAAAUCAGUAGGGAAUCAGUGAGGAAAGGAUUUAAUAAACGAGGCUAUAAACAUUGGUUUGCCUUAAGGAGAAAAUAAUUAUAUCCCUGGAUUAUAUCUCUAUCUCACAUCAUACAAAAAUUUCAGAUAGAUAUGUCUUAAAUGUAAAUAGCAAAACUAAAAACACUUUACAAGAAAACAGGGGACAAUAACUUCAUGAUUUUAGGGUAGGAAAAGAUUUCUUAAACAAGAACACAGGAAUACAAGAUGAAAAGGCAACAACUAUAAGGGAAAUAUUGAUAAAUUUGACAACUUAACAUUAAAAACUGUAAUCCAAAAGACAAUCUCCAGAUUUGGAGAAGAUAUUUGCAAUAUUUCAGCAGAAGAUUCAUAUCCAGAAUAUUCGAAGGCCAUCUACCAAUAGCAGGUCUUCACUGAGGAAGUUGUUUACUUGAUUCUUAAAAAUCUUCAAAGACGAAGAUUCUACAACUUCCUUUGGACUGAGUUCUAGUGCGCUCACUGUGGACCAAGACUAGGAAGAGUUAUCCUCAUCGUUACAGUUCCACCUUUCUUCUUCUUCAUCCUCAUCAGCCAUGUCUUCCCCAGGAUUUCUCCUGCCUCAGGAUCACUG
rnacentral:lncRNA from 1 species